UACAGAGGUCUCAAGCGUUGUUCGGAUUCAUUGGGCGUAAAGGGUGUGUAGGUGGCGCCGUAAGUCGGGUGUGAAAUUUCGGAGCUUAACUCCGAAACUGCAUUCGAUACUGCGGUGCUUGAGGACUGGAGAGGAGACUGGAAUUCAUGGUGUAGCAGUGAAAUGCGUAGAGAUCAUGAGGAAGACCAGUGGCGAAGGCGGGUCUCUGGACAGUUCCUGACACUGAGACACGAAAGCCAGGGGAGCAAACGGG
rnacentral:rRNA from 1 species